rnacentral:lncRNA from 1 species
AGACAUUAGGGAUAUGAUAAGAUACAACUCCCAUGGGGCUCACAUUCUACUAGUACAAAGAAGAUAAUAAAUGAUGAAACUAAUAAAAAUAAAUUUUCAGGAGAUAGAAAAUGCUUCUAAAAAUGUAAUGAUGAGAAUAUAAGGAAAGAAAGUGGUGGGAUAAUGAUAUUUUAAAUAGUGGUCAGAGAAGUCUUUUUUAAGUGGUUGACAUUUGAGCAGGGUUAUAAAUGAAAUUAUUAGCCAGGUGUGGUGAUGCACAUCUGUAAUUCCAGCAGCUCAGAAGGCUUAGGCAGGAGGAUCACGAGUUCAA